ACAAAGUACUCAGAGUUACACAACUGCACCAACAGAUGGCAGUAUAGGACUGGAAAUAACUCACGGGGUGUGGUCUAUAACCACUUCAUCUAGUUAGCGUUCAGUUAGUCACACUGCUGUAAAUCACGCGUGUUCGAGACGGAGUGAAGAUUGUUCUUGGUGUUUGCUAUAAUUUGUGCUAAUUGUGUGCUUUAUUGACAAGAAACCACACAUACACACAAACACACCUAUCAUCACACCAAUUAUAAAUGCCUGGAAGUUCUACAUCCAUCAACCAAAUUAAAGUUUGUUUUUUGAGAACUGGACUGUUGCACCUCUUUUUAAUAGAAGAGCAUGGCUGGAAAGCAGGAGCUAGUGUAACGCACACAGCAAAUAACUGGACACAGAGAAGACAGAACAAGCACAUAAUCUCCUCCACCUCCUCCUCCUCCUCUUCUUCUUCUUGUGUGGCGAGUUACAGAGAGCAGCGUAAAGCUGAAUACUGGAGAGUGUAUAAUAAUAAUAUGUGUACAGUUUGGUCAAAUCAGUGUCAUAGAGCUCAAUGUAGAUUUGUAGAAAAUAAAAUGACUGCUUUCCCAUA